GAUGAGACCUUCCGCCUUCAGGAACCUUAAAGAUUUAAGCUACCUACUUUCCUGUUGUAUGGAUUUGCCAUAAAUGACUUAAUCAGGACUCUAUUGAUAAUUGUGGUAGCAGCAAGUAUCCUUGGACAUACAGGAGCAUAUUUGUAAAUAAACAUUUACAUCAAUACUAGUAGUGGAACUGACAAGGAAAAGGAUACUGCACUGUGAAGAAUAAAGACAUGUUGAAAGGUGACUGGCCAAAGAGAAGCCAUGAAUCUGCAGGAAGAUGAAUGAUGUAUCAUAGUAAUAUAUCGGGAAGAAAUCUGUUCAUGCCCCGAUUCUCUGGACGAGAACUGCAUGGCAAGAGGAGUAUUACACACGAUGCAAGUACUGUGGCAUAUGAGGGGGUGAAGGAGGACAGACCUCCAGAGGCCAAGAUGGCACGGCUACUUGAAUGGAAAACACCAGUGCUGGAGAAGCCCAGCAGACUCCUCUAAUGUGAGUGUGGUGUACUUUAUGGAAAUGAAGGAGGGCUUACGUUGUCAGUGAAGACGACUCCGAGUUUCCACAUCUGAUACUUCACGUCGAUAGAGUUCAAUCUGGAAAGACAAAAAAGAAGAAUUUGUAGGAUCCUACUCUGCAGAUAAAGAAGUUGUGUCUUAGAAAACAGAACAUGCUCAAGGUUGCUAAGCUUGGCAAGAGAUGGAGUGAGAAAGCUAUCAGGCAGGAGCUGACUCGCGGCCAAGGUCUGUGUAGACCACUGCUGACCAAGGGCAGGCCACUAGUGAUGGCAUCAGGAUGCCAUCAUCCCCACCAUUCAACACUCCCAUCAUUUCCUGACUGGAGCAGCCCUUCAGCAAUCCCCAGAGCCUUGUCUCUCCCGCCCUUCUGUCUUCAG